rnacentral:rRNA from 1 species
GAUGAACGCUGGCGGCGUGCCUAAUACAUGCAAGUCGAGCGAAUGGAUUAAGAGCUUGCUCUUAUGAAGUUAGCGGCGGACGGGUGAGUAACACGUGGGUAACCUGCCCAUAAGACUGGGAUAACUCCGGGAAACCGGGGCUAAUACCGGAUAACAUUUUGAACCGCAUGGUUCGAAAUUGAAAGGCGGCUUCGGCUGUCACUUAUGGAUGGACCCGCGUCGCAUUAGCUAGUUGGUGAGGUAACGGCUCACCAAGGCAACGAUGCGUAGCCGACCGGAGAGGGUGAUCGGCCACACUGGGACUGAGACACGGCCCAGACUCCUACGGGAGGCAGCAGUAGGGAAUCUUCCGCAAUGGACGAAAGUCUGACGGAGCAACGCCGCGUGAGUGACGAAGGCUUUCGGGUCGUAAAACUCUGUUGUUAGGGAAGAACAAGUGCUAGUUGAAUAAGCUGGCACCUUGACGGUACCUAACCAGAAUGCCACGGCUAACUACGUGCCAGCCGCCGCAGUAA